rnacentral:rRNA from 1 species
CCUACGGGCGGCAGCAGUGAGGAAUAUUGGUCAAUGGACGAGAGUCUGAACCAGCCAAGUAGCGUGAAGGAUGACUGCCCUAUGGGUUGUAAACUUCUUUUAUAUGGGAAUAAAACGUUCCACGUGUGGGAUUUUGUAUGUACCAUAUGAAUAAGGAUCGGCUAACUCCGUGCCAGCAGCCGCGGUAAUACGGAGGAUCCUAGCGUUAUCCGGAUUUAUUGGGUUUAAAGGGAGCGUAGGUGGAUUGUUAAGUCAGUUGUGAAAGUUUGCGGCUCAACCGUAAAAUUGCAGUUGAAACUGGCAGUCUUGAGUACAGUAGAGGUGGGCGGAAUUCGUGGUGUAGCGGUGAAAUGCUUAGAUAUCACGAAGAACUCCGAUUGCGAAGGCAGUUCACUGGACUGCAACUGACACUGAGGCUCGAAAGUGUGGGUAUCAAACAGGAUUAGAUACCCUAGUAGUC